rnacentral:rRNA from 1 species
AGAGUUUGAUCCUGGCUCAGGAUGAACGCUAGCGGCAGGCUUAACACAUGCAAGUCGAGGGGUAGCAGGAUUUAGUUUACUAGAUUGCUGACGACCGGCGCACGGGUGAGUAACGCGUAUACAAUUUGCCUUUUACUGGAGGAUAGCCAAGAGAAAUUUUGAUUAAUACUCCAUAGUAUUAUUUGACCACCUGGUCGAGUAAUUAAAGUUCCGGCGGUAAAAGAUGAGUAUGCGUCCUAUUAGCUAGAUGGUAAGGUAACGGCUUACCAUGGCGACGAUAGGUAGGGGUCCUGAGAGGGAGAUCCCCCACACUGGUACUGAGACACGGACCAGACUCUUACGGGAGGCAGCAGUGAGGAAUAUUGGGCAAUGGAGGCAACUCUGACCCAGCCAUGCCGCGUGCUCGAAGACGGCCCUAUGGGUUGUAAACUGCUUUUAUACAGGAAGAAACUUACCCACGUGUGGGUAACUGACGGUACUGUAAGAAUAAGGACCGGCUAACUCCGUGCCAGCAGCCGCGGUAAUACGGAGGGUCCAAGCGUUAUCCGGAAUCAUUGGGUUUAAA